AUACGGAGGGUGCAAGCGUUACUCGGAAUCACUGGGCGUAAAGCGCGCGCAGGCGGCUAUUUAAGUUGGAUGUGAAAGCCUACGGCUCAACCGUAGAACUGCAUCCAAAACUAUUUAGCUAGAGUGUGGGAGAGGAAGAUGGAAUUAGUUGUGUAGGGGUAAAAUUCGUAGAGAUAACUAGGAAUACCAAAAGCGAAGGCAAUCUUCUGGAACACUACUGACGCUGAGGCGCGAAAGCGUGGGGAGCAAACAGGAUUAGAAACCCCAGUAGUCC
rnacentral:rRNA from 1 species